UGAAGUGACUUGCCCAAGGUCACACAGGAGGCAAGUGGCAGUCAGGAUUGGAACCCUGGUCCUCCAGCUCCCUGCUUUCAACAAACUACUUAAAGGACUGAUGACAAGAAGGAUCAAGGUUAUUUCCAGAGAGUUCCACGAGCUGGAUUGUGGGCCAUCUGUUUGACAUCGCUGACUUGGAGCAUGAGGAUCAGGAAAAACGAUAUUAGAACCCCAACUAGUUAUUGGAAAAAUGCUUCACAGUAGGUGAGACCACACAAUUCUGCCAGGAGAAGGAAAGCGAUAUGAAAUGACCACUUUAAACGGGUCAGUUCCAGUUGAACCAGAAAAUGCAAUUUAUGGAUGGAGUUGCCUGCAGACCAAGCGUCAAGCACUAACAAACCACAAUGACUGAAGAUGCAGCCAGAAUUAAGAUUGGAGAAUGAAGUAAAGUGAAGGGAUGAAAAGAGAAGUUCUAUUUGUCUCAACACAAAGCAGAUUGGGGAGGAGUAAUUCCAAGAAGAGAUUAGCUACGCAUAAAUUAAGAUGCCACAAGAGGGCACUGCCUUAUUCAACAAGGAAGAACUUGAGGCCAGAAAGAAAGAUUGGAGAGACAAAGCCAAAGAAGGCUGCUGCUUAAGAGAUACGAAGUUCUCUUCAGAUGGCUUGGUGAGAUCUGUUUCCAUUUAUUUGGUAUUGAUACGUUUCUUCGCAAGGUC